AAUUCCAGCUCCAAUAGUGUAUAUUAGAGUUGUUGCAGUUAAAAAGCUCGUAGUUGGAUUUCUGCUGUGGUCAUCCGGUACCGCCCGUACGGGUGCGCACCUGGUUUGGCUGCGGCUUUAUUCCUGUAGCCAUCCGCGCUUAAUUGCGUGUGUUGUGUUGCGGAACUUUUACUUUGAGAAAAAUAGAGUGUUUCAAGCAGGCUUGUCGCCCUGAAUACUUCAGCAUGGAAUAAUAGGAUAGGACCUUGGUUCUAUUUUGUUGGUUUCUAGGACCAAGGUAAUGAUUAAUAGGGACAGUUGGGGGCAUUCGUAUUUAACUGUCAGAGGUGAAAUUCUUAGAUUUGUUAAAGACGAACUACUGCGAAAGCAUUUGCCAAGGAUGUUUUCAUUAAUCAAGAACGACAGUAGGGGGUUUGAAGACGAUUAGAUACCGUCGUAAUCUCUACCAUAAACUAUGCCGACUAGAGAUAGGGAAAUGCCUACCUUGGCUUCUCCUG
rnacentral:rRNA from 1 species